rnacentral:rRNA from 1 species
GACGAACGCUGGCGGCGUGCUUAACACAUGCAAGUCGAACGGGUCUGCCCUGUUUUUUGCGGGGUGGGCCAGUGGCGAACGGGUGAGUAACACGUGAGUAACCUGCCCCUCACUUCUGGAUAACCGCUUGAAAGGGUGGCUAAUACGGGGUGUUCUGGCUGUGCCGCAUGGUGUGGCUGGGAAAGAUUCACUUUUGUGGUGUUUUGGUGGGGGAUGGGCUCGCGGCCUAUCAGCUUGUUGGUGGGGUGAUGGCCUGCCAAGGCUUUGACGGGUAGCCGGCCUGAGAGGGUGGGCGGUCACACUGGGACUGAGAUACGGCCCAGACUCCUGCGGGAGGCAGCAGUGGGGGGUAUUGCACAAUGGGCGGAAGCCUGAUGCAGCGACGUCGCGUGAGGGAUGGAGGCCUUCGGGUUGUGAACCUCUUUCGCCGGUGAAGAAGGUCCUGCUCUUUGUGGUGGGGUUGACGGUAGCCGGGUUAUGAAGCGCCGGCUAACUACGUG